UGGGCAGUCAGUCCUGGGGUUUGCCUAAAACAAGCUCAGAAGGGGAGGAAGACAUGACUUCUGCAGCUCUGAAGGGUGAUUGCUUUUAUCACUGAGGACGCCACGUUACUUUAUUGCCUUUCUGAGCUCUUUAACGCAGCAAUAAGCAAGCUGUUGAAAUAUUUUUAAAUCCGUAAGUGUAAUAAAGAAUCAAGCAAGCUACAAAACUCCCCCUCUGGUGGCAGCUCCCGCACCCCAGGCCCUGCCCUGUUGCUCUUGUGCCCGUGUGCCUGGAGGGAUGUGUGUGCACGGGCUGGUUGGGGACGCUUACUUUCCUUUCCCUCUUAACCUGAAUGAUUUUGUAGAAAUCUGCAAGCAAUUGAAUGUAACUGUUUAAACAAUCAAAUCAUAUAAAUUACGGGGUGAUUCUUGAAGUGAAAUGGCAUUCUGUGGGAGUAUAUCAGUGUCGGUGGUGCUUUCGCUGCCUGGGAUGGAGGUUUGGUGUGAUCCUGCAGACCCGGCACCCAGCAGCUCCUGUCUGCCCUGGCGCGGGCUGAUAAGCACUGCCCUUGUCCCUCGCUGGGCGCCCCGAAAGCUUCAUCCAUCUCUGGGCUCUGCCCGACAACAAACAGAGCGUGGAAGGGAAUGCAGGACACAGCAAAGAAGGGAGACGGAGUUUGUGUUUUUGAUGUUGUGUUGUUGUGUUUGUGACACGCGCCCGCUUCUGGGUGUGACGAGCGGUGGUGCAGCCACAUUGAGUCUGCUGAGGAAACGGGAAGCCAUGGGGAUGGCGAAGUCGCACUCGGUGUUUUAAACAGCCUAAGAGAGCAGACAGGCUGUUGGAAAGCCAGCAAAGCCAGGCUGGUGCAGAACCGGAAAGCAGGGACCGCAGCCACGAGACAUCCGAUGAAACCUUCACAGGAAUGGGAAUGAAGGGAGGUGAGAGCUGCUAGUGAUGUGCUGAAUAAGGAGGGACUCGGCUCCUUCUCGCAGGUGCGUCCAGGACGAAGUAGGGAAGGACCCUGCGCCCGGAGGAGAUGCACACACGACCCGUCAGUCCUGUCAGCUGCCAUCCGGCCCACAGCCCGUGCCUCGUCUGCCACUGGUGAAGGCCAGCGCAGGUCCGUGAGUAACCUGGCACCCGGCACCGCAGUGGGCUUAUGGCAGUGGUCUGUCAGAUGGGAGCUGCCUCUGGCCGGGUGCAUACAGGGCUUGUUUGGGGACGGGCAGGGCACCCAGGGGGAAAGUUAAAAUUCUCUGCAUCAGGGGGAAGACUUGUGUUUAGUGCUGAUUUUCUUUCAAGAAGCUUCUGGAGACGUUUUGCUCAAGGAUAGACCAAGGGCUUUUAGAAUGAGGCGCAGUGAGGGGUUAAAUAGUCAGAAACUGUGGGAAUGGUGUCAUUUGUGGGUGUGGGGAUGCAGACUAAACAGUGUCUUUGUGCCACAGCAGUGCUUGCAGCCCCCGACCCUGCGCGCUGCCAGCCGCAUCCAGCUGCAUGCAGCCAGGGUUGGGGUGGGUCAGCACGGUCCCUGUGUGAUGCAUGGGGACGGGCUGGGAGAUGGGAACAUGUGCGUCAUGGGGCCUGGUGCUGGUCGAGGGCUCCAGCCCUGCAGGCUGCAGUGACUACUCACUUUAAUUAAGCUGUCACAGCGAUUUUCCCAACAAGGCAGAACCCCUCUGCUCCAUCUUAAAAGUUACUUGGCUGGUGCACGUGCUGCUCAGGUCAGAGAGGUGUCAGGGGAAUGAACUCGCUGGCAUGGGAUUGUGGAAGUGUGGCAAGACAAAGCGCUAUCAACCAUAGCUAAAGUUGAUGUACUGCAUCAGGUCAGAAACUCUGCAGCGUUGAUAAAUGCUUCGUUGAUGUCGCACAGUAACUGAUAUUGCAAUCGUUUCAUGUAACUAUGCUUAGCUUGAGUACUUUCAUACUGUUUGUGGAAAAGAGUGGGUAGAAAGAGGCAGCUUUCCUCCAGGGGCAAAGACUGCCAUGCCCUGAGGCUCCUCACCUGCUGGUAGGGUGCCCGUGGUACCUGAAGAGAAGAAAUUGCAGCAGGACUUUUCCUCAGUCCUUUCCUUAAGUGUUGUGUUACCACAAAAUGUGAAUUUCGAAACAUGAUUUUAACAGUGAAACACUACAGAGCGCCCCACCACAGCACACAGUUGACACCCCAAGCUUCAGCAGGCUGAGGUGUGACCUUACACUGGUCUCUCUGAAACAUCUUCCUUCUCCCAGAUUUAAUGGAGAAGCCCUGACAGCAGGGGGCUUUAGACCACUUCAUAAAGUACGUCUUAGGGUGCAAUGGUGUUCUUUGAAGAGAAAAACAUGAGGGUGAGGGGAAAUAUCCCAGUUCCCUGCAAUCCUGCCCUACUUCUCUUCCUACAGCUUUAAAAUGGUGCAAAGGAGGAGUCAGCUGAAUUUACAAAGAGCGCUCCCAGCUGAGCUCUCCCUCUGACCAUUAGGGUGGCACAGCACUUAAGAGGUGGUGGUCACCGCAGGUCUGCCAGCAGAGUGAAUGAGCAGUUACUGGUUUACUCCUGCAGAGAAAGACACUCCAGGCUCCACUGAAAGAGAGCAAUGACUGACAUGCAUUGGCUGUGUUGUAGCAAGUUGCACCACGAGGAGCUGGUUUUCGGUGCACAAGAAGAAAAUUUUCUCUUUAUUGCACUGUGUUGUAAGAAUGCUUAUUGGAAAUGUGUGUCUGUGUGUCAGGGGGUUAUAAGCUGCUCUGUGAAACAGAACCACGACGACUGGGUGCACUGAAGGCAGUGUCUAUUGAUUCGUGAAACCGAAAAUAACCUACAGUCUAGGAAGCAUCUUUUCACCAAGUUUUCUUAUUGAUGGGAAUGAAGGGAAAAAAAGGCAAUGUGCAGGGAAGCUAGGGUUAAAUUCCACCUAAUUAAAGAUGCAAACUUCUGAUAUUCCAGUUUUAUAAUAAAACCUUACAAAGAUG